rnacentral:rRNA from 1 species
CUCAAGUUGAUGGAAGUUUGAGGCAAUAACAGGUCUGUGAUGCCCUUAGAUGUUCUGGGCCGCACGCGCGCUACACUGACAGAGCCAACGAGUUCUUUUCCUUGUUCGAAAGAAUUGGGUAAUCUUGUUAAACUCUGUCGUGCUGGGGAUAAAGCAUUGCAAUUAUUGCUUUUCAACGAGGAAUGCCUAGUAAGCGCGUGUCAUCAGCAUGCGUUGAUUACGUCCCUGACCUUUGUACACACCGCCCGUCGCUACUACCGAUUGAAUGGCUCGGCCCGUGCCCCCGCCCCGCCC